GGUCUGAUGGUGUAGUGGUUACACGUCCUCUUAAUAUACAUCUGUACCAUGAGGCUUAUGAGAGGAGGCUCCCGGUUCGAAUCCGGGUCAGGCCC